rnacentral:lncRNA from 1 species
UUGCGGCGGUGGCUAGAAAUUGAUGGAAACGGUGGGGAAAAAUACACGAACUGGACUCUAACAAGACCUAACCAGCAACAAGACCUCGACCAGGACACAAACUCAAAACUGCGGACUCUGAACUGAAAUAUGCCAAGGCUAUGACGCGGAAGGGUUGUAGGACAGGAAAACAAUAUGGAAGUGGACUUAUGGGUUGAACAUAAGAACACUCGAAACUAAGGGUAGAUGUGAACCUAAUGGUAUACCUGAAGCUUUGAUUACCACUUGAUGAGAACAAAGGUGGCCCGAUCUUGCGAAAGGAUCUGGUAACUCUCGAUUUGGUGGAGACGAGACACAAAUCGAUCCGGCUUUCGAACAACACGAUCCGAAAUCCUGCAAUUUUUUUUAUUUCUUUGAUAUUUUUCUUUUACUUAGGAGCAAUAAAGAAGUAACCACAGAAAAUUUGAGCUUAAACAAGUGAAAGACGUGGCCUGCAGAAAUUUUUGAAGAUUGCAAAAAAUGUGAAAAAAAUUCACGAGGUGAAAACUAAAACUUCGGACGUGAAUUUGAAGAUUCUAAAAUUUUCAAACCCACCAAUGGCGGAGACAGACAGAUCCGAAAUUUUUUUCUAAUUGAUUUUAUAUAUGGAACAUUGAAAUCGGAGUUCGUAUGCGAAAGUUAUGGCUAUUUUACAAAUGGACUCCGAAUUAGAGGACAAAACAGUCCGAAAGCGGGAAAAUUUUUGCGGCGGUGGCUAGAAAUUGAUGGAAACGGUGGGAAGAAAUACACGAACUGGACUCUAACAAGACCUAACCAGCAACAAGACCUCGACCAGGACACAAACUCAAAACUGUGGACUCUGAACUAAAAUAUGCAAAGGCUAUGCCGCGGAACGGUUGUAGGAUAGGAAAACAAUAUGGAAGUGGACUUAUGGGAUGAACAUAAGAACACUCAAAACUAAGCAUAGAUGUGAACCUAAUGGUAUACCUAAAGCUUUGAUUACCACUUGAUUAGAACAAGGGUGGCCCGAUGUUGUGAAAGGAUCUGGUAACUCUCGAUUUGGUGGAGAUGAGACACAAAACGAUCCCGCUUUCAAACAACAUGAUCCGAAAUCUUGCAAUUCUAUUUUGAUAUUUUUCUUUUCUUAGGAGCAGUAAAGAAGUAACCAUAGGAAACUUGAGCUUAAACAAGUGAAAGACGUGGCCUGCAGAAAUUUCUGAAGAUUGCAAAAAAUGUGAAAAAAAAACUUCACGAGAUUCUGGUAACUCUCGAUUUGGUGGAGAUGAGACACAAAUCGAUCCGGCUUCUAAACAACACAAUCCGAAACCCUGCAAUUGUUUUAUUUUUUUUGAUAUUUUUCGUUUACUAGGAGCACUAAAGAAGUAACCACAAAAAAUUUGAGCUUAAACAAGUGAAAGACGUGGUCUGUAGAAUUUUCUGAAGAUUGCGAAAAAUGUGAAAAAAACUUCACGAGGUAAAAACUCAAAAUUAUGAGGCGAAUUUGGAGAUUCUAAAAUUUUCAAACCUGCCUAUAGCGGGGACAAACAGAUCCAAAAUUUUUUCUUAUCGAUUUUGAUAUAUGGAACAUUGAAAUCGGAGUUCGUAUGCGAAAGUUAUGCCUGUUUUACGAACGGACUCCAAAUUAGAGGACAAAAUGGUCCGAAAGUGCGAAAAAUUUGCGGCGAUGGCUAGAAAUUGAUGGAAAUGGUGGGGAAAAAUACACGAAUUGGACUCUAACAAGACCUAACCAGCAACAAGAUCUCGACCAAGACACAAACUCAACACUACGGACUCUGAAAGUGAAAUAUGCAAAGGCUAUGGCGCGGAAGAGUAGUAGGACAGGAAAACUAUAUGGCACUGGACUUAUGUGAUGAACAUAAGAACACUCGAAACUAAGGGUAGAUGUGAACCUAACGGUAUACUUAAAGCUUUGAUUACCACUUGAUGAGAACAAGGGUGGCCCAAUCUUCCGAAAGGUUCUGGUAACUCUCGAUUUGGUGGAGAUGAGACACAAAUCGAUCCGGCUUCCGAACAACACGAUCCGAAACCCUGCAAUUUUUUUAUUAUUUCGAUAUUUUUCUUUUACUAGGAGCACUAAAAAAGUAACCACAGAAAAUUUGAGCUUAAACAAGUGGAAGACAUGGUCUGCAGAAUUUUCUCAAGAUUGCAAAAAAUGUGAAAAAAACUUCACGAGGUGAAAACUCAAACUUCGGAAGCGAAUUUGGAGAUUCUUAAAUUUUCAAACCUGCCCAUGGUAGGGACAGUCAUAUCUGAAAUUUUUUCCUGAUCGUUUUUUAUUUAUGGAACAUUGAAAUCGGAGUUCGUAUGCAAAAGUUUUGCCUGUUUUACGAACGGACUAUGAAUUAGAGGACAAAAUGGUCCGAAAGUGGGAAAAAUUUGCCGCGGAGGCUAGAAAUUGAUGGAAAACGGUGGGGGAAAACACACGAACUGGACUCUAACAAGACCUAACCAACAACAAGACAUAGACCAAGACACAAACUCAACACUGCAUACUCUAAAGCUGAAAUAUGCAAAGGCUAUGGCGCGGAAGGGUUGUAGGACAGGAAAACAAUAUGGCACUGGACAUAUGGGACGAACAUAAGAACACUCGAAUCUAAGGGUAGAUGUGAACCUAACGGUAUACCUAAAGCUUUGAUUACCACUUGAUGAGAACAAGGGUGGCCCGAUCUUCCAAAAGGUUCUGGUAACUCUCGAUUUGGUGGAGACGAGACACAAAUCGAUACGGAUUCCGAACAACACGAUCCGAAAUCCUGCAUUUUUUUAUUUCUUUGAUAUUUUUCUUUUACUUAGGAGCAAUAAAGAAUUAACCACAGAAAAUUUGAGCUUAAACAAGUGAAAGACAUGGCCUGCAGAAAUUUUUGAAGAUUGUAAAAAAUGUGAAAAAAAAUUCACGAGGUGAAAACUAAAACUUCGGAGGUGAAUUUCAAGAUUCUAGAAUUUUCAAACCCACCAAUGGCGGAGACAGACAGAUCCGAAAUUUUUUUCUAAUUGAUUUUUAUAUAUGGAACAUUGAAAUUGGAGUUCGUAUGCGAAAGUUAUGUCUGUUUUACAAAUGGACUCCUAAUUAGAGGACAAAACAGUCCGAAAGCGGGAAAAAUUUUGCGGCGGUGGCUCGAAAUUGAUGGAAACGGUGUGGAAAAAUACACGAACUGGACUCUAACAAGACCUAACCAGCAACAAGACCUCGACUAGGACACAAACUCAAAACUGCGGACUCUGAACUGAAAUAUGCCAAGGCUAUGACGCGGAAGGGUUGUAGGACAGGAAAACAAUAUGGAAGUGGACUUAUGGGUUGAACAUAAGAACACUCGAAACUAAGGGUAGAUGUGAACCUAAUGGUAUACAUGAAGCUUUGAUUACCACUUGAUGAGAACAAAGGUGGCCCGAUCUUGCGAAAGGAUCUGGUGACUCUCGAUUUGGUGGAGACGAGACACAAAUCGAUCCGGCUUUCGAACAACACAAUCCGAAAUCCUGCAAUUUUUUUUAUUUCUUUGAUAUUUUUCUUUUACUUAGGAGCAAUAAAGAAGUAACCACAGAAAAUUUGAGCUUAAACAAGUGAAAGACGUGGCCUGCAGAAAUUUUUGAAGAUUGCAAAAAAUGUGAAAAAAAUUCACGAGGUGAAAACUAAAACUUCGGAGGUGAAUUUCAAGAUUCUAAAAUUUUCAAACCCACCAAUGGCGGAGACAGACAGAUCCGAAAUUUUUUUCUAAUUGAUUUUAUAUAUGGAACAUUGAAAUCGGAGUUCGUAUGCGAAAGUUAUGGCUAUUUUACAAAUGGACUCCGAAUUAGAGGACAAAACAGUCCGAAAGCGGGAAAAAUUUUGCGGCGGUGGCUAGAAAUUGAUGGAAACGGUGGGAAGAAAUACACGAACUGGACUCUAACAAGACCUAACCAGCAACAAGACCUCGACCAGGACACAAACUCAAAACUGCGGACUCUGAACUAAAAUAUGCAAAGGCUAUGGCGCGGAAGGGUUCUAGGACAGGAAAACAAUAUGGAAGUGGACUUAUGGGAUGAACAUAAGAACACUCAAAACUAAGCAUAGAUGUGAACCUAAUGGUAUACCUAAAGCUUUGAUUACCACUUGAUUAGAACAAGGGUGGCCCGAUGUUGUGAAAGGAUCUGGUAACUCUCGAUUUGGUGGAGAUGAGACACAAAUCGAUCCGGCUUUCAAACAACAUGAUCCGAAAUCUUGCAAUUCUAUUUUGAUAUUUUUCUUUUCAUAGGAGCAGUAAAGAAGUAACCAUAGGAAACUUGAGCUUAAACAAGUGAAAGACGUGGCCUGCAGAAAUUUCUGAAGAUUGCAAAAAAUGUGAAAAAAAAACUUCACGAGAUUCUGGUAACUCUCGAUUUGGUGGAGAUGAGACACAAAUCGAUCCGGCUUCUAAACAACACAAUCCGAAACCCUACAAUUGUUUUAUUUUUUUUGAUAUUUUUCGUUUACUAGGAGCACUAAAGAAGUAACCACAAAAAAUUUGAGCUUAAACAAGUGAAAGACGUGGUCUGUAGAAUUUUCUGAAGAUUGCGAAAAAUGUGAAAAAAACUUCACGAGGUAAAAACACAAAAUUAUGAGGCGAAUUUGGAGAUUCUAAAAUUUUCAAACCUGCCUAUAGCGGGGACAAACAGAUCCAAAAUUUUUUCUUAUCGAUUUUGAUAUAUGGAACAUUGAAAUCGGAGUUCGUAUGCGAAAGUUAUGGCUGUUUUACGAACGGACUCCGAAUUAGAGGACAAAAUGGUCCGAAAGUGGGAAAAAUUUGUGGCGAUGGCUAGAAAUUGAUGGAAAUGGUGGGGAAAAAUACAUGAAUUGGACUCUAACAAGACCUAACCAGCAACAAGAUCUCGACCAAGACACAAACUCAACACUACGGACUCUGAAAGUGAAAUAUGCAAAGGCUAUGGCGCGGAAGAGUAGUAGGACAGGAAAACUAUAUGGCACUGGACUUAUGUGAUGAACAUAAGAACACUCGAAACUAAGGGUAGAUGUGAACCUAACGGUAUACUUAAAGCUUUGAUUACCACUUGAUGAGAACAAGGGUGGCCCAAUCUUCCGAAUGGUUCUGGUAACUCUCGAUUUGGUGGAGAUGAGACACAAAUCGAUCCGGCUUCCGAACAACACGAUCCAAAACCCUACAAUUUUUUUAUUAUUUCGAUAUUUUUCUUUUACUAGUAGCACUAAAAAAGUAACCACAGAAAAUUUGAGCUUAAACAAGUGAAAGACAUGGUCUGCAGAAUUUUCUCAAGAUUGCAAAAAAUGUGAAAAAAACUUCACGAGGUGAAAACUCAAACUUCGGAAGCGAAUUUGGAGAUUCUUAAAUUUUCAAACCUGCCCAUGGUAGGGACAGUCAUAUCUGACAUUUUUUCCUGAUCGUUUUUUAUUUAUGGAACAUUGAAAUCGGAGUUCGUAUGCAAAAGUUUUGCCUGUUUUACGAACGGACUAUGAAUUAGAGGACAAAAUGGUCCGAAAGUGGGAAAAUUUUGCCGCGGAGGCUAGAAAUUGAUGGAAAACGGUGGGGGAAAACACACGAACUGGACUCUAACAAGACCUAACCAACAACAAGACAUAGACCAAGACACAAACUCAACACUGCAGACUCUAAAACUGAAAUAUGCAAAGGCUAUGGCGCGGAAGGGUUGUAGGACAGGAAAACAAUAUGGCACUGGACAUAUGGGAUGAACAUAAGAACACUCGAAACUAAGGGUAGAUGUGAACCUAACGGUAUACCUAAAGCUUUGAUUACCACUUGAUGAGAACAAGGGUGGCCCGAUCUUCCAAAAGGUUCUGGUAACUCUCGAUUUGGUGGAGACGAGACACAAAUCGAUACGGAUUCCGAACAACACGAUCCGAAAUCCUGCAUUUUUUUAUUUCUUUGAUAUUUUUAUUUUACUUAGGAGCAAUAAAGAAUUAACCACAGAAAAUUUGAGCUUAAACAAGUGAAAGACAUGGCCUGCAGAAAUUUUUGAAGAUUGUAAAAAAUGUGAAAAAAAAUUCACGAGGUGAAAACUAAAACUUCGGAGGUGAAUUUCAAGAUUCUAGAAUUUUCAAACCCACCACUGGCGGAGACAGACAGAUCCGAAAUUUUUUUCUAAUUGAUUUUUAUAUAUGGAACAUUGAAAUCGGAGUUCGUAUGCGAAAGUUAUGUCUGUUUUACAAAUGGACUCCUAAUUAGAGGACAAAACAGUCCGAAAGCGGGAAAAAUUUUGCGGCGGUGGCUAGAAAUUGAUGGAAACGGUGGGGAAAAAUACACGAACUGGACUCUAACAAGACCUAACCAGCAACAAGACCUCGACCAGGACACAAACUCAAAACUGCGGACUCUGAACUGAAAUAUGCCAAGGCUAUGACGCGGAAGGGUUGUAGGACAGGAAAACAAUAUGGAAGUGGACUUAUGGGUUGAACAUAAGAACACUCGAAACUAAGGGUAGAUGUGAACCUAAUGGUAUACCUUAAGCUUUGAUUACCACUUGAUGAGAACAAAGGUGGCCCGAUCUUGCGAAAGGAUCUGGUAACUCUCGAUUUGGUGGAGACGAGACACAAAUCGAUCCGGCUUUCGAACAACACGAUCCGAAAUCCUGCAAUUCUAUUUUGAUAUUUUUCUUUUCUUAGGAGCAGUAAAGAAGUAACCAUAGGAAACUUGAGCUUAAACAAGUGAAAGACGUGGCCUGCAGAAAUUUCUGAAGAUUGCAAAAAAUGUGAAAAAAAAACUUCACGAGAUUCUGGUAACUCUCGAUUUGGUGGAGAUGAGACACAAAUCGAUCUGGCUUCUCAACAACACAAUCCGAAACCCUGCAAUUGUUUUAUUUUUUUGAUAUUUUUCGUUUACUAGGAGCACUAAAGAAGUAACCAUAAAAAUUUUUAGCUUAAACAAGUGAAAGACGUGGUCUGUAGAAUUUUCUGAAGAUUGCGAAAAAUGUGAAAAAAACUUCACGAGGUAAAAACUCAAAAUUAUGAGGCGAAUUUGGAGAUUCUAAAAUUUUCAAACCUGCCUAUAGCGGGGACAAACAGAUCCAAAAUUUUUUCUUAUCGAUUUUGAUAUAUGGAACAUUGAAAUCGGAGUUCGUAUGCGAAAGUUAUGGCUGUUUUACGAACGGACUCCGAAUUAGAGGACAAAAUGGUCCUAAAGUGGGAAAAUUUUGCGGCGAUGGCUAGAAAUUGAUGGAAAUAGUGGGGAAAAAUACACGAAUUGGACUCUAACAAGACCUAACCAGCAACAAGAUCUCGACCAAGACACAAACUCAACACUACGGACUCUGAAAGUGAAAUAUGCAAAGGCUAUGGCGCGGAAGAGUAGUAGGACAGGAAAACUAUAUGGCACUGGACUUAUGUGAUGAACAUAAGAACACUCGAAACUAAGGGUAGAUGUGAACCUAACGGUAUACUAAAAGCUUUGAUUACCACUUGAUGAGAACAAGGGUGGCCCAAUCUUCCGAAAGGUUCUGGUAACUCUCGAUUUGGUGGAGAUGAGACACAAAUCGAUCCGGCUUCCGAACAACACGAUCCGAAACCCUGCAAUUUUUUUAUUAUUUCGAUAUUUUUCUUUUACUAGGAGCACUAAAAAAGUAACCACAGAAAAUUUGAGCUUAAACAAGUGAAAGACAUGGUCUGCAGAAUUUUCUCAAGAUUGCAAAAAAUGUGAAAAAAACUUCACGAGGUGAAAACUCAAACUUCGGAAGCGAAUUUGGAGAUUCUUAAAUUUUCAAACCUGCCCAUGGUAGGGACAGUCAUAUCUGAAAUUUUUUCCUGAUCGUUUUUUAUUUAUGGAACAUUGAAAUCGGAGUUCGUAUGCAAAAGUUUUGCCUGUUUUACGAACGGACUAUGAAUUAGAGGACAAAAUGGUCCGAAAGUGGGAAAAUUUUGCCGCGGAGGCUAGAAAUUGAUGGAAAACGGUGGGGGAAAACACACGAACUGGAUUCUAACAAGACCUAACCAACAACAAGACAUAGACCAAGACACAAACUCAACACUGAAGACUCUAAAGCUGAAAUAUGCAAAGGCUAUGGCGCGGAAGGGUUGUAGAACAGGAAAACGAACGAACACAAGAGCACUCGGAACUAAGGGUAGAUGUGAACUUAAUGGUAUACCUGAAGCUUUGAUUACCACUUGAUGAGAACAAGGGUGGCCCGAUCUUCUGAAAGGUUGUGGUAACUCUCGAUUUGGUGGAGACCAUACACAAAUUGAUACGGCUUCCGAACAACACGAUCCGAAAUCCUACAAUUUUUUUAUUUCUUUGAUAUUUUUCUUUUACUUAGGAGCAAUAAAGAAGUAACCACAGAAAAUUUGAGCUUAAACAAGUGAAAGACGUGGCUUGAAGAAAUUUUUGAAGAUUGCAAAAAAUGUGAAAAAAAAUUCACGAGGUGAAAGCUAAAACUUCGGAGGUGAAUUUGAAGAUUCUAGAAUUUUCAAACCCACCAAUGGCAGAGACAGACAGAUCCAAAAAUUUUUUCUAAUUGAUUUUUAUAUAUGGAACAUUGAAAUCGGAGUUCGUAUGCGAAAGUUAUAGCUGAUUUAAAAAUGGACUCCGAAUUAGUGGACAAAACAGUCCGAAAGCGGGAAAAAUUUUGCGGCGGUGGCUACAAAUUGAUGGAAACGGUGGGGAAAAAUACACGAACUGGACUUUAACAAGACCUAACCAGCAACAAGACCUCGACCAGGACACAAACUCAAAACUGCGGACUCUCAACUAAAAUAUGCAAAGGCUAUGGCGCGGAAGGGUUGUAGGACAGGAAAACAAUAUGGAAGUGGACUUAUGGGAUGAACGUAAGAACACUCAAAACUAAGGGUAGAUGUGAACCUAAUGGUAUACCUGAAGCUUUGAUUACCACUUGAUUAGAACAAGGGUGGCCCGAUCUUGUGAAAGGAUCUGGUAACUCUCGAUUUGGUGGAGACGAGACACAAAUCGAUCCGGCUUUCGAACAACACGAUCCGAAAUCCUGCAAUUUUUUUUAUUUAUUUUUUGAUAUUUUUCUUUUACUUAGGAGCAAUAAAGAAGUAACCACAGAAAAUUUGAGCUUAAACAAGUGAAAGACGUGGCCUGCAGAAAUUUCUGAAGAUUGCAGAAAAAUGUGAAAAAAAACUUCACGAGAUUCCGGUAACUCUCGAUUUGGUGGAGAUGAGACACAAAUCGAUCCGGCUUCUGAACAACACAAUCCGAAAUCCUGCAAUAGUUUUAUUUUUUUUGAUAUUUUUCUUUUACUAGGAGCACUAAAGAAGUAACCACAGAAAAUUUGAGCUUAAACAAGUGAAAGUUGUGGUCUGUAGAAUUUUCUAAAUAGUGCGAAAAAUGUGAAAAAAAACUUCACGAGGUGAAAACUCAAACGUCGGAGGCGAAUUUGGAGAUUCUUAAAUUUUCGAACCUGCCCUUGGCAGGGACAGACAUAUCUGAAAUUUUUUUCUAAUCGUUUUUGAUUUAUGGAACAUUUAAAUCGGAGUUCGUAUGCAAAAGUUUUGCCAGUUUUACAAACGGACUAUGAAUUAGAGGACAAAAUGGUCCGAAAGUGAGAAAAAUUUUCGGCGGUGGCUACAAAUCGAUGAAAAACGGUGGGGGAAAAAACACACGAACCGGACUCUAACAAGUCCUAGCCAGCAACCAGACCUCGACCAUGACACAAACUCAAGACUGCAGGCUCUAAAGCUAAAAUAUGUAAAGGCUAUGGCGCGGAAGGGUUGUAGGACAGGAAAACAAUAUGGCACUGGACAUAUGGGAUGAACAUAAGAGCACUCGAAACUAAGGGUAGAUGUGAACCUAACAGUAUACCUGAAGCUUUGAUUACCACUUGAUGAGAACAAGGGUGGCCCGAUCUUCCGAAAGGUUUUGGUAACUCUCAAUUUGGUGGAGACGAGACACAAAUCGAUCCGGCUUUCGAACAACACGAUCCGAAAUCCUACAAUUUUUUUAUUUCAUUGAUAUUUUUCUUUUACAUAGGAGCAAUAAAGAAGUAACCACCAAUACUUUGACCUCAUACAAGUGGAAGACGUGGCCUGCGGAAAUUUCAAAAGAUUGCGAAAAAUGUGAAAAAAUUCACGAGGUGAAACCUCAAACUUUGGAGGCAAAUUUGGAGAUUCUAGAAUUUUCAAACCCACCAAUGGCGGAGACAGACAGAUCUGAGAUUUUUUUAUUGAUUUUGACAUAUGGAACAUUGAAAUCGGAGUUCGUAUGUGAAAGUUAUGGUUCUUUUACAAACAGACUCCGAAUUAGAGGACAAAACGGUCCGAAAGUGGAAAAUUUUUACUGUGGUGCCUAGAAAUUGAUGGAAACGAUGGGGUAAAAUACACGAACUGGACUCUAACAAGACCGAACCAGCAACGAGACCUCAACCAGGACACAAACUCAACACUGCGGACUCUGAAACUGAAAUAUGCAAAGGCUAUGGCGCGGAAAAUUUGUGGCGGUGGCUAGAAAUUGAUUGAAACGGUGGGGAAAAACACACGAACUAGACUCUAGCAAGUCCUAACCAGCAACAAGACCUCAACCAGGACACAAACUCAACUCUGCGGACGCUGUAACUGAAAUAUGCAAAGGCUAUGGCGCGGAAGGGUUGUAGGACAGGAAAACGAUAUGGCACUAGACUUAUGGGAUGAACAUAGGAACACUCGAAACUAAGGGCCGAUGUCGACCUAACGGUAUACCUGAAGCUUUGAUUACCACUUGAUGAGAACAAGGUUGGCCCGAUCUUCCAAAAGUUUCUGGUAACACUCGAUUUGGUGGAGAUGAGAUACAAAUCGAUCCGGUUUCCGGACAACACGAUCUGAAACCCUGCAAUUUUUUUAUUUUUUUGAUAUUUUUCUUUUACUAGGAGCACUAAAAAAGUAACUACAGAAAAUUUGAGCUUAAACAAGUGAAAGACGUGGUCUGCAGAAUUUUCUGAGGAUUGCGAAAAAUGUGAAAAAAACUUCAUGAGGUGAAAAGUCAAACUUCGGAGGUGAAUUUGGAGAUUCUAAAAUUUUGGAACCUACCUACGGCGGGGACAGACAGAUCCGAAUUUUUUUUUCUUAUUGAUUUUGAUAUAUGGAACAUUGCAAUCGGAGUUCGUAUGCAAAAGUUAUGGCUCUUUUACGAACGGACUCCGAAUUAGAGGACAAAACGGUCCGAAAGUGGGGAAAAUUUGCAGCGGUGGCUAGAAAUUGAUUGAAACGGUGGGGAAAAACACAUGAACUAGAGUCUAGCAAGACCUAACCAGAAACAAGACCUCAACCAGGACACAAACUCAACUCUGCGGACGUUGUAACUGAAAUAUGCAAAGGCUAUGGCGCGGAAGGGUUGUAGGACAGGAAAACGAUAUGGCACUGGACUUAUGGGACGAACAUAGGAACACUCGAAACUAAGGGUAUAUGUGAAACUAACGGUAUACCUGAAGCUUUGAUUACCACUUGAUGAGAACAAGGGUGGCCCUAUCUUCCAAAAGUUUCUGGUAACUCUCGAUUUGGUGGAGAUGAGAUACAAAUCAAUCCAGCUUCAGAACAACACGAUCCGAAACCCUGCAUUUUUUUUAUUUUUUUGAUAUUUUUCUUUUACUAGGAGCACUAAAAAAGUAACCACAGAAAAUUUGAGCUUAAACAAGUGAAAGACGUGGUCUGUAGAAUUUUUUGAAGAUUGCGAAAAAUGUGAAAAAAAACAUCACGAGGUAAAAACUCAAAUUUCGGAGGCGAAUUUGGAGAUUCUAAAAUUUUCAAACCUGCUCUAGGCAGGGACAGACUGAUCCAAAUAUUUUGUCUUAUCGAUUUUGAUAUAUGGAACAUUGCAAUCGGAGUACGUAUGCAAAAGUUAUGGCUCUUUUACGGACGGACUCCGAAUUAGAGGACAAAACGGUCUGAAAGUGGGGAAAAUUUGCGGCGGUGGCUAGAAAUUGAUUGAAACGGUGGGGAAAAACACACGAACUAGAGUCUAGCAAGAUCUAACCAGAAACAAGACCUCAACCAGGACACAAACUCAACUCUGCGGACGCUGUAACUGAAAUAUGCAAAGGCUAUGGCGCGAUAGGUUUGUAGAACACGAAAACGAUAUGGCACUGGACUUAUGGGACGAACAUAGGAACACUCGAAACGAAGUGUAUAUGUGAACCUAACGGUAUACCUGAAGCUUUGAUUACCACUUGAUGAGAACAAGGUUGGCCUGAUCUUCCAAAAGUUUCUGGUAACACUCGAUUUGGUGGAGAUGAGAUACAAAUCGAUCCGGCUUCCGGACAACACGAUCUGAAACCCUGCAAUUUUUUUAUUUUUUUGAUAUUUUUCUUUUACUAGGAGCACUAAAAAAGUAAGUACAGAAAAUUUGAGCUUAAACAAGUGAAAGACGUGGUCUGCAGAAUUUUCUAAAGAUUGCAAAAAAUGUGAAAAACCUUCAUGAGGUGAAAACUCAAACUUCGCAGGUGAAUUUGGAGAUUCUAAAAUUUUCAAACCUGCUAAAGGCGAGGACAGACAGAUCUGAAUUUUUUUUUCUGAUCGAUUUUGAUUCAUGGAACAUUGAAAUUGGAGUUCGUAUGUGAACGUUAUGGUUGUUUUAGGAACGGACUCCGAAUUAGAGGACAAAACGGUCCGAAAGUGGGAAAAAUUUACGGUGGUGCCUAGAAAUUGAUGGAAAUGGUGGGGUAAAAUACACGAACUGGACUCUACAAGACCUAACCAGCAACAAGACCUCGACUAGGACACAAACUCAACACUGUAGACUCUAAAACUGAAAUAUGCAAAGGCUAUGGUGCGGAAGGGUUGUAGGACAGGAAAACGAUGUGGCACUAGACUUAUGGGAUGAACAUAAGAACACUCGAAACUAAGGGCCGAUGUGGACCUAAUGUUAUACAUGAAGCUUUGAUUACCACUUGAUGAGAACAAGGGUGGCCCGAUCUUCCGAAAGGUUCAGGUAACUCUCGAUUUGGUGGAGAUGAGACACAAAUCGAUCCGGCUUCCGAACAACACGAUCCGAAACACUGCAAUUUUGUUUAUUUUUUUGAUAUUUUUCUUUUACUAGGAGCACUAAAGAAGUAACCAUAGAAAAUUUGAGGUUAAACAAGUGAAAGACCUAGUCUGCGGAAAUUUCUGAAGAUUUUGAAAAAUGUGAAAAAAAUCAUGAGGUGAAAACUCAAACUUCGGAGGCAAAUUUGUAGAUACUAAAAGUUUGAAACCCACCAUAGGUAGAGACAGACAGAUCCGAAUUUUUUUUCUGAUCCAUCUUGAUAUAUGGAACAUUGAAAUCGGAGUUCGUAUGCGAAAGUUAUGGCUGUUUUACGAAUGGACUCUAAAUUAGAGGACAAAACGGUCCGAAAGUCGGAAAAAUUUGCGGCGGUGGCUAGAAAUUGAUGGAUAUGGUGGGGAAAAUACAUGAACUGGACUCUAACAAGACCUAACCAGCAACAAGACCUCAACCAGAACACAAACUCAACACUGCGGACUCUAAAACUGAAAUAUGCAAAGGUUAUGACGCGGAAGGGUUGUAGGACAGGAAAACGAUAUGGCACUAUACUUACGGGACGAGCACAAAGACACUCGAAACUAAGGGUAGAUGUGAACCUAACGAUAUACCCGAAGCUUUGAUUACCACUUGAUGAGAACAAGGGACCGAUCUUCCAAAAGGUUCUGGUAACUCUCGAUUUGGUGGAGACGAGAUACAAAUAGAUCUGACUUCCGAACAACACGAUACGAAACCCUACAAUUUUUUUAAAAUUGUUUUGAUAUUCUUCUAUUACUCAGGAGCACUAAAGAAGUAACCAGAGUAAAUUUGAGCUUAAAGAAGUGAAAGACGUGGCAUGCGGAAUUUUCUGAAGAUUGCGAAAAAUGUGAAAUAAACUUCACAAGGUGAAAACUCAAACUUCAAAGGCGAAUUUGGAGAUUCUAAAUUUUUCAAACCCAACAAUGGCAGAGACAGAGAGAUCCAAAUUUUUUUCUGAUCCAUUUUGAUAUAUGGAACAUUGAAAUCGGAGUUCGUUUGCGAAAGUUAUGGCUGUUUUACGAAUGGAAUCUAAAUUAGAGGACAAAAUUGUCCAAAAGUGGGAAAAAUUUGUGGCGGUGGGUAGAAAUUGAUGGAAAUGUUGGGGAAAAAUACAUGAACUGGACUCUAACAUGACCUAACCAGCAACAAGACCUCGACCAGGACACAAACUCAACACUGCCGACUCUGAAACUGAAAUAUGCAAAGGCUAUGGCACGGAAGGAUUCUAGGACAGGAAAACGAUAUGGCACUGUACCUACGGGACGAACACAAGAACACUCAAAACUAAGGGUAGAUGUGAACCUAACGAUACACCUGAAGCUUUGAUUACCACUUGAUGAGAACAAGGGUGGCCCGAUCUUCCAAAAGGUUAUGGUAACUCUCGAUUUGGUGGAGACGAGAUACAAAUCGAUCCGGCUUCCGAACAACACGAUCUGAAACCCUGCAAUUUUUUUAAAUUUUUUUGAUAUUCUUCUUUUACUUAGGAGCACUAAAGAAGUAACCAGAGAAAAUUUGAGCUUAAACAAGUAAAAGACGUGGCCUGCGGAAUUUUUUGAAGACUGUGAAAAAUGUGAAAUAAACUUCACGAGAUGAAAACUCAAACUUCAGACGCGAAUUUGGUGAUUCUAAAAUUUUCAAAUCCACCAUUGGCGGAGACAGACAGAUCUGAAUUUUUUUUGAUCGAUUUUGAUAUAUGGAACGUUGAAAUCUGAGUUCGUAUGCGAAAGUUAUGGCUAUUUUACGAAUGGACUCCGAAUUAGAGGACAAAACGGUUCGAAAGUGGGAAAAAUUUACGGCGGUGGCUAGAAAUUGUUGGAAAACGGUGGGGAAAAACACACGAACUAAACUCUAACAAGACCUAACCAGCAACAAGACUUCGACCAGGACACAAACUCAACACUGCGGACUCUGAAACUGAAAUAUGCAAAGGUUAUGACGCGGAAGGGUUGUAGGACAGGAAAACAAUAUGGCACUAUACUUACGGGACGAACACAAAAACACUUAAAACUAAGGGUAGAUGUGAACCUAACGAUAUACCUGAAGGUUUGAUUGCCACUUGAUGAGAACAAGGGUGGACCGAUCUUCCGAAAGGUUAUGGUAACUCUCGAUUUGGUGGAGACGAGAUACAAAUAGAUCUGACUUCCGAACAACACGAUACGAAACCCUACAAUUUUUUUAAAAUUGUUUUGAUAUUCUUCUAUUACUUAGGAGCACUAAAGAAGUAACCAGAGUAAAUUUGAGCUUAAAGAAGUGAAAGACGUGGCAUGCGGAACUUUCUGAAGAUUGCGAAAAAUGUGAAAUAAACUUCACAAGGUGAAAACUCAAACUUCAAAGGCGAAUUUGGAGAUUCUAAAUUUUUCAAACCCAACAAUGGCAGAGACAGAGAGAUCCAAAUUUUUUUCUGAUCCAUUUUGAUAUAUGGAACAUUGAAAUCGGAGUUCGUAUGCGAAAGUUAUGGCUGUUUUACUAAUGGAAUCUAAAUUAGAGGACAAAAUUGUCCAAAAAGUGGGAAAAAUUUGUGGCGGUGGGUAGAAAUUGAUGGAAAUGUUGGGGAAAAAUACAUGAACUGGACUCUAACAUGACCUAACCAGCAACAAGACCUCGACCAGGACACAAACUCAACACUGCCGACUCUGAAACUGAAAUAUGCAAAGGCUAUGGCACGGAAGGAUUCUAGGACAGGAAAACGAUAUGGCACUGUACCUACGGGACGAACACAAGAACACUCAAAACUAAGUGUAGAUGUGAACCUAACGAUACACCUGAAGCUUUGAUUACCACUUGAUGAGAACAAGGGUGGCCCGAUCUUCCAAAAGGUUAUGGUAACUCUCGAUUUGGUGGAGACGAGAUAAAAAUCGAUCCGGCUUCCGAACAACACGAUCUGAAACCCUGCAAUUUUUUUAAAUUUUUUUGAUAUUCUUCUUUUACUUAGGAGCACUAAAGAAGUAACCAGAGAAAAUUUGAGCUUAAACAAGUAAAAGACGUGGCCUGCGGAAUUUUUUGAAGACUGUGAAAAAUGUGAAAUAAACUUCACGAGAUGAAAACUCAAACUUCAGACGCGAAUUUGGUGAUUCUAAAAUUUUCAAAUCCACCAUUGGCGGAGACAGACAGAUCUGAAUUUUUUUUGAUCGAUUUUGAUAUAUGGAACGUUGAAAUCUGAGUUCGUAUGCGAAAGUUAUGGCUAUUUUACGAAUGGACUCCGAAUUAGAGGACAAAACGGUUCGAAAGUGGGAAAAAUUUACGGCGGUGGCUAGAAAUUGUUGGAAAACGGUGGGGAAAAACACACGAACUAAACUCUAACAAGACCUAACCAGCAACAAGACUUCGACCAGGACACAAACUCAACACUGCGGACUCUGAAACUGAAAUAUGCAAAGGUUAUGACGCGGAAGGGUUGUAGGACAGGAAAACAAUAUGGCACUAUACUUACGGGACGAACACAAAAACACUUAAAACUAAGGGUAGAUGUGAACCUAACGAUAUACCUGAAGGUUUGAUUGCCACUUGAUGAGAACAAGGGUGGACCGAUCUUCCGAAAGGUUCUGGUAACUCUCGAUUUGGUGGAGACGAGAUACAAAUAGAUCUGACUUCCGAACAACACGAUACGAAACCCUACAAUUUUUUUAAAAUUGUUUUGAUAUUCUUCUAUUACUUAGGAGCACUAAAGAAGUAACCAGAGUAAAUUUGAGCUUAAAGAAGUGAAAGACGUGGCAUGCGGAAUUUUCUGAAGAUUGCGAAAAAUGUGAAAUAAACUUCACAAGGUGAAAACUCAAACUUCAAAGGCGAAUUUGGAGAUUCUAAAUUUUUCAAACCCAACAAUGGCAGAGACAGAGAGAUCCAAAUUUUUUUCUGAUCCAUUUUGAUAUAUGGAACAUUGAAAUCGGAGUUCGUAUGCGAAAGUUAUGGCUGUUUUACUAAUGGAAUCUAAAUUAGAGGACAAAAUUGUCCAAAAGUGGGAAAAAUUUGUGGCGGUGGGUAGAAAUUGAUGGAAAUGUUGGGGAAAAAUACAUGAACUGGACUCUAACAUGACCUAACCAGCAACAAGACCUCGACCAGGACACAAACUCAACACUGCCGACUCUGAAACUGAAAUAUGCAAAGGCUAUGGCACGGAAGGAUUCUAGGACAGGAAAACGAUAUGGCACUGUACCUACGGGACGAACACAAGAACACUCAAAACUAAGGGUAGAUGUGAACCUAACGAUACACCUGAAGCUUUCAUUACCACUUGAUGAGAACAAGGGUGGCCCGAUCUUCCAAAAGGUUAUGGUAACUCUCGAUUUGGUGGAGACGAGAUACAAAUCGAUCCGGCUUCCGAACAACACGAUCUGAAACCCUGCAAUUUUUUUAAAUUUUUUUGAUAUUCUUCUUUUACUUAGGAGCACUAAAGAAGUAACCAGAGAAAAUUUGAGCUUAAACAAGUAAAAGACGUGGCCUGCGGAAUUUUUUGAAGACUAUGAAAAAUGUGAAAUAAACUUCACGAGAUGAAAACUCAAACUUCAGACGCGAAUUUGGUGAUUCUAAAAUUUUCAAAUCCACCAUUGGCGGAGACAGACAGAUCUGAAUUUUUUUUGAUCGAUUUUGAUAUAUGGAACGUUGAAAUCUGAGUUCGUAUGCGAAAGUUAUGGCUAUUUUACGAAUGGACUCCGAAUUAGAGGACAAAACGGUUCGAAAGUGGGAAAAAUUUACGGCGGUGGCUAGAAAUUGUUGGAAAACGGUGGGGAAAAACACACGAACUAGACUCUAACAAGACCUAACCAGCAACAAGACUUCGACCAGGACACAAACUCAACACUGCGGACUCUGAAACUGAAAUAUGCAAAGGUUAUGAUGCGGAAGGGUUGUAGGACAGGAAAACAAUAUGGCACUAUACUUACGGGACGAACACAAAAACACUUAAAACUAAGGGUAGAUGUGAACCUAACGAUAUACCUGAAGCUUUGAUUGCCACUUGAUGAGAACAAGGGUGGACCGAUCUUCCGAAAGGUUCUGGUAACUCUCGAUUUGGUGGAGACGAGAUACAAAUAGAUCCGGCUUCCGAACAACACGAUACGAAACACUACAAUUUUUUUUAAAAUUUUUUUGAUAUUCUUCUAUUACUUAGGAGCACUAAAGAAGUAACCAUAGUAAAUUUGAGCUUAAAGAAGUGAAAGACGUGGCAUGCGGAAUUUUCUGAAGAUUGCGAAAAAUAUGAAAUAAACUUCACAAGGUGAAAACUCAAACUUCAAAGGCGAAUUUGGAGAUUCUAAAUUUUUCAAACCCAACAAUGGCAGAGACAGAGAGAUCCAAAUUUUUUUCUGAUCCAUUUUGAUAUAUGGAACAUUGAAAUCGGAGUUCGUAUGCGAAAGUUAUGGCUGUUUUACUAAUGGAAUCUAAAUUAGAGGACAAAAUUGUCCAAAAGUGGGAAAAAUUUGUGGCGGUGGGUAGAAAUUGAUGGAAAUGUUGGGGAAAAAUACAUGAACUGGACUCUAACAUGACCUAACCAGCAACAAGACCUCGACCAGGACACAAACUCAACACUGCCGACUCUGAAACUGAAAUAUGCAAAGGCUAUGGCACGGAAGGAUUCUAGGACAGGAAAACGAUAUGGCACUGUACCUACGGGACGAACACAAGAACACUCAAAACUAAGUGUAGAUGUGAACCUAACGAUACACCUGAAGCUUUGAUUACCACUUGAUGAGAACAAGGGUGGCCCGAUCUUCCAAAAGGUUAUGGUAACUCUCGAUUUGGUGGAGACGAGAUACAAAUCGAUCCGGCUUCCGAACAACACGAUCUGAAACCCUGCAAUUUUUUUAAAUUUUUUUGAUAUUCUUCUUUUACUUAGGAGCACUAAAGAAGUAACCAGAGAAAAUUUGAGCUUAAACAAGUAAAAGACGUGGCCUGCGGAAUUUUUUGAAGACUGUGAAAAAUGUGAAAUAAACUUCACGAGAUGAAAACUCAAACUUCAGACGCGAAUUUGGUGAUUCUAAAAUUUUCAAAUCCACCAUUGGCGGAGACAGACAGAUCUGAAUUUUUUUUGAUCGAUUUUGAUAUAUGGAACGUUGAAAUCUGAGUUCGUAUGCGAAAGUUAUGGCUAUUUUACGAAUGGACUCCGAAUUAGAGGACAAAACGGUUCGAAAGUGGGAAAAAUUUACGGCGGUGGCUAGAAAUUGUUGGAAAACGGUGGGGAAAAACACACGAACUAAACUCUAACAAGACCUAACCAGCAACAAGACUUCGAUCAGGACACAAACUCAACACUGUGGACUCUGAAACUGAAAUAUGCAAAGGUUAUGACGCGGAAGGGUUGUAGGACAGGAAAACAAUAUGGCACUAUACUUACGGGACGAACACAAAAACACUUAAAACUAAGGGUAGAUGUGAACCUAACGAUAUACCUGAAGGUUUGAUUGCCACUUGAUGAGAACAAGGGUGGACCGAUCUUCCGAAAGGUUCUGGUAACUCUCGAUUUGGUGGAGACGAGAUACAAAUAGAUCUGACUUCCGAACAACACGAUACGAAACCCUACAAUUUUUAUAAAAUUGUUUUGAUAUUCUUCUAUUACUUAGGAGCACUAAAGAAGUAACCAGAGUAAAUUUGAGCUUAAAGAAGUGAAAGACGUGGCAUGCGGAAUUUUCUGAAGAUUGCGAAAAAUGUGAAAUAAACUUCACAAGGUGAAAACUCAAACUUCAAAGGCGAAUUUGGAGAUUCUAAAUUUUUCAAACCCAACAAUGGCAGAGACAGAGAGAUCCAAAUUUUUUUCUGAUCCAUUUUGAUAUAUGGAACAUUGAAAUCGGAGUUCGUAUGUGAAAGUUAUGGCUGUUUUACUAAUGGAAUCUAAAUUAGAGGACAAAAUUGUCCAAAAGUGGGAAAAAUUUGUGGCGGUGGGUAGAAAUUGAUGGAAAUGUUGGGGAAAAAUACAUGAACUGGACUCUAACAUGACCUAACCAGCAACAAGACCUCGACCAGGACACAAACUCAACACUGCCGACUCUGAAACUGAAAUAUGCAAAGGCUAUGGCGCGGAAGGAUUCUAGGAUGGGAAAACGAUAUGGCACUGUACCUACGGGACGAACACAAGAACACUCAAAACUAAGGGUAGAUGUGAACCUAACGAUACACCUGAAGCUUUGAUUACCACUUGAUGAGAACAAGGGUGGCCCGAUCUUCCAGAAGGUUAUGGUAACUCUCGAUUUGGUGGAGACGAGAUACAAAUCGAUCCGGCUUCCGAACAACACGAUCCGAAACCCUGCAAUUUUUUUAAAUUUUUUUGAUAUUAUUCUUUUACUUAGGAGCACUAAAGAAGUAACCAGAGAAAAUUUGAGCUUGAACAAGUAAAAGACGUGGCCUGCGGAAUUUUUUGAAGACUGUGAAAAAUGUGAAAUAAACUUCACGAGAUGAAAACUCAAACUUCAGACGCGAAUUUGGUGAUUCUAAAAUUUUCAAACCCAACCAUGGCAGAGACAGAAAGAUCCGAAUUUUUUUUCUCAUCGAUUUUGAUAUAUGGAACGUUGAAAUCGGAGUUCGUAUGCGAAAGUUUUGACUGUGUCACGAACGGACUCCGAAUUAGAGGACAAAAUGGUUCGAAAGUAGGAAAAAUUUGCGGCGGUCGCUAGAAAUUGAUGGAAACCGGUGGGGAAAAACACACGAACUAGGCUCUAACAAGACCUAACCAGCAUCAAGACCUCGACCAGGACACAAACUCAACACCGCGGAUUCUGAAACUGAAAUAUGCAAAGGCUAUGACACGGAAGGCUUGUAGGACAGGAAAACGAUAUGGCACUGGACUUACGGGACGAACACAAGAACACUCGAAACUAAGGGUAGAUGUGAACCUAACGGUAUACCUGAAGCUUAGAUUACCACUUGAUGAGAACAAGGGUGGCCCGAUCUUCCGAAAGGUUGUGGUAACUCUCGAUUUGGUGGAGACGAGAUACAAAUCGAUCUGGCUUCCAACAACACGAUCCGAAAUCCUAUAAUUUUGUUUUUAUUUUUUUUUGAUAUUUUUUGUUACUUAGUAGCACUAAAGAAGUAACCACAGAAAAUUUGAGCUUAAUCAAGUGAAAGACGUGGCCUACAAAAUUGUGAAAUAAACUUCACAAGGUGAAAACUCAAACUUUGGAGGCGAAUUUGGAGAUUCUAAAAUUUUAAAACCCACCAAUGGCGGAGACACACAGAUUCCAAAUUUUUUUUAAUCAAUUUUGAUAUAUGGAACAUUGAAAUUGGAGUUCGUAUGGGAAAGUUAUGGCUGUUUUACGAACGGACACCGAAUUAGAGGACAAAACGGUUCGAAAGUGGGAAAAAUUUGCGGCGGUGGCUAGAAAUUGAUGAAAAAUUUGGAGAUUCUAAAAUUUUCAAACCCACCAAUGGUAGAGACGGACAGAUCCAAAAUUUUUUUCUGAUUGAUUUUGAUAUAUGGAACGAUGAAAUCGGAGUUCGUAUGCGAAUGUUAUGGUUGUGUUACGAACGGACUCCGAAUUCGAGGACAAAACGGUUCGAAAGUGGGAAAAAAUUGCGGCGGUGGCUAGAAUUUGAUGGAAAACCGUAGGGAAAAACACACGAACUGGACUCUAACAAGACCUAACCAGCAACAAGACCUCGACCAGGACACAAACUCAAUACUGCGGACUCUGAAACUAAAAUAUGCAAAGACUAUGACGCGGAAGGGUUGUAGGAUACGAAAAUGAUAUGGCACUGGACUUACGGGACGAACACAGGAACACUCGAAACUAAGGGUAGAUGUGAACCUAAUGGUAUACCUAAAGUUUUGAUUACCACUUGAUGAGAACAAGGGUGUGGGGGUAUAAACCCCUAUACCCUUACGGCUAGACUUGGGGCAGGAGACUUGGCCCAUCACGAGGCAGUUCGAGGCUUGAUCUAACUGCUCGGAGUUGCGCGCAAGGAAACAAGACGUGGAGAUCAAGCAAUAUUCUAGUCAGUUAGAAUAGGAAUUGAUAUCGUAUUAUCUAUAGUAAUUAUAACCGACUAGGAUUAGUUUCUAGAUCUGUAACCUUGCCCUAU